rnacentral:rRNA from 1 species
AGAGUUUGAUCCUGGCUCAGAUUGAACGCUGGCGGCGUGCUUAACACAUGCAAGUCGAGCGGUAGCAGGCGUAGCAAUACGUGCUGACGAGCGGCGAACGGGUGAGUAAUGCUUCGGAAUCUUCCUAGUAGUGGGGAACAACCUGGGGAAACUCAGGCUAAUACCGCAUACGACCUACGGGUGAAAGCAGGGGAUCGCAAGACCUUGCGCUAUUAGAUGAGCCGAAGUCGGAUUAGCUAGUUGGUGAGGUAAAGGCUCACCAAGGCGACGAUCCGUAGCUGGUCUGAGAGGACGACCAGCCACACUGGGACUGAGACACGGCCCAGACUCCUACGGGAGGCAGCAGUGGGGAAUAUUGGACAAUGGGGGCAACCCUGAUCCAGCGACGCCGCGUGUGUGAAGAAGGCCUGCGGGUUGUAAAGCACUUUUAGUGGGGACAAAAAGCCAUGGGUUAACACCCUGUGGUCUUGAUUUAACCCAAAGAAAAAGCACCGGCUAACUCUGUGCCAGCAGCCGCGGUAAUACAGAUGGUGCAAGCGUUAAUCGGAAUUACUGGGCGUAAAGCGUGCGUAGUCGGUUAUCUAAGUCGGAUGUGAAAUCCCCGGGCUCAACCUGGGAAUUGCAUUCGAUACUGGAUAGCUAGAGUUCGGCAGAGGGAAGCGGAAUUUCGGGUGUAGCGGUGAAAUGCGUAGAUAUCCCAAGGAACAUCAGUGGCGAAAGCGGCUUCCUGGACCAGAACUGACGAUCAGGCACGAAAGCGUGGGGAGCAAACAGGAUUAGAUACCCUGGUAGUCCACGCCAUAAACGAUGACAACUAGACGUUGGGAGGGUAAGCCUCACAGUGUCGCAGCUAACGCGUUAAGUUGUCCGCCUGGGGAGUACGGCCGCAAGGUUGGAACUCAAAGGAAUUGACGGGGACCCGCACAAGCGGUGGAGCAUGUGGUUUAAUUCGAUGCAACGCGAAGAACCUUACCUGGUCUUGACAUGUCUGGAAUCCCGAAGAGAUUUGGGAGUGCCGCAAGGAACCAGAACACAGGUGCUGCAUGGCUGUCGUCAGCUCGUGUCGUGAGAUGUUGGGUUAAGUCCCGCAACGAGCGCAACCCUUGUCCUUAGUUGCCAUCAUUAAGUUGGGAACUCUAAGGAGACCGCCGGUGACAAACCGGAGGAAGGUGGGGAUGACGUCAAGUCAUCAUGGCCUUUAUGACCAGGGCUACACACGUGCUACAAUGGCAGGUACAGAGGGAAGCCAACCCGCGAGGGGGAGCUAAUCCCAGAAAACCUGUCUUAGUCCGGAUUGGAGUCUGCAACUCGACUCCAUGAAGUUGGAAUCGCUAGUAAUCGCAGAUCAGCAUUGCUGCGGUGAAUACGUUCCCGGGUCUUGUACACACCGCCC